rnacentral:rRNA from 1 species
UACGAAGGGGGCUAGCGUUGUUCGGAAUUACUGGGCGUAAAGCGCGCGCAGGCGGCCUUUCAAGUCAGGGGUGAAAACCCGGAGCUCAACUCCGGGCCUGCAGUCGAUACGGGCGGACUCGAGUUCGGCAGGGGAGACUGGAAUUCCUGGUGUAGCGGUGAAAUGCGCAGAUAUCAGGAGGAACACCGGUGGCGAAGGCGGGUCUCUGGGCCGAUACUGACGCUGAGGAGCGAAAGCGUGGGGAGCGAACAGG